rnacentral:lncRNA from 1 species
CUUGGUCAGGUUUAUUUAUCAGCAUAACGAAUUCUUUGAUAAUUGAUGUCAUGUAAAUUCACUCAAAGAUAUAUAUGGAUUUUUCUAAGUCUUGUAUAACUAAACUAGGUCAAUUUAAAAGUAAGUUGACAUUGAACUUUGACUGAAACCAACUACUUUAUUGUGCAAUGCAUAUCGUGUGUUAUUUCUUUGCAAUUAACAGUGUAUGAGAAUAAAAACACACCAACAAAGAAAAACUUGUUAAAUAUAUCACUUUGAGGUGGCUACAAAGGAGUGGACUUUAAAAAUGUACAUGAUGUAUCUACUGAAAUAAGUUUUCUAACAUUACUAUGAUGUUUUAUUAUCAUAAUGAGUCUUAGCAAAUACAAAAAAGUAUUCCAUGUGGUCCAUUCUCUUCGUAAUAAGUCAAAAGUAGUAUACUGCUGUUCAAAAGUCAUGAAUCAAUUGAAGAAAAAACAAAUCCAGGGCUACAAAGCAAAACCUAGGGAACACAUCAACUAUAAGUGGAAAACAAACGAAUAACUGGAACACCUGAGAGCAAGAAAAACAAACACAAACACACAUUAUUGUGUUGUAGGAUCAAUUUCAAUCAUUGUUAGCCUCUGAAAUAGUUAUUACUGGAAUGUAAAACAAACACAUCUUUCAAUUUCUAUAAAAAGAAUUAUCUGCAGAUUUUAGUAGAAACUGGUUUCUUUUGAAUUAAAGUAAAAUAGUUGGAGGAGAGUGGUAUUUAGUCAAUUAGUUGCUAGCUUUUUGUGCCUUUAUUGUUCAAGCCAGGUUGUGAAAUUUUAAUUUACUUGUUUUCUUAUUGCAGAUAAUAUGAGAACACCAUCUUAUGAAUUAAGUUUAAGAUUGUAUAGACAUGUAUUUUUACAUUCACUUUAGAAUUAUAUAUGAUUGUAUUGGACACUUUUUUCUACUUUCACUUCAGAAUAAUAAUGAAUCACUGUUAUUCACUAUGUUACUGUAUAUGGGUUGUUA